GGUUGCGAUCAUACCAGCACUAAUGCACCGGAUCCCAUCCGAACUCCGCAGUUAAGCGUGCUUGGGCGAGAGUAGUACUAUGAUGGGUGACCCCCUGGGAAGUCCUCGUGUUGCAACCC
rnacentral:rRNA from 1 species